rnacentral:rRNA from 1 species
UACAGAGGUGGCAAGCGUUGUUCGGAAUUACUGGGCGUAAAGGGCGCGUAGGCGGCCUACUAAGUCAGACGUGAAAUCCCCCGGCUUAACCUGGGAACUGCGUCUGAUACUGGAAGCUUGAGGAUGGGAGAGGGAUGUAGAAUUCCAGGUGUAGCGGUGAAAUGCGUAGAUAUCUGGAGGAAUACCGGUGGCGAAGGCGGCAUCCUGGACCAUUACUGACGCUGAGGCGCGAAAGCUAGGGGAGCAGACGGG